GGGGCUGCAGGAGGUUGGGGGGAAGGGGAACUUCAUUCAACAUGGAGGAACCCCCUCCUCCCAUGCAUUUCCAUCCAUCACGACACAGCCCAGCAACCUGGACUCCACUGGUGAAUAUACACAAAAGUUUGUUGUGGAAAUGAGACAUGUGGCAACACUGGAUCUGGCCAGGCCUCUGCAGUGAUCAGGACUUCCAGCAAUGUUACCGCAAGAGGAUCUCCUCCUCCCAUUCCCGGCUCUCAUUAUUGCUCCUGCCAUAAGAAGGGCGUGGAAUUCUCAAGAUCUGGAGAACUGGAGGAGGAGCCAGGGCCAAGGGUAACUGGCCCUAGAACAUCGGACUAGAAUGAUAAGACUUUUCAGCUUUCUGGCUUCCUGAAAGAGAUUCAUCUUCAGAAAGUUCUUCUCACCAUUGAACAAUUGUCUGAUAGCUGAGAUCCUACAGCUAUCUCCUCUUCUGACACGUAAUAGUUGGAGAAGCUGGGGUAGAGGUGUCAAACAUGCCUUAACAGCCUGCAACAGAUUAAA